rnacentral:rRNA from 1 species
UGGGGAAUCUUGCGCAAUGGGCGGAAGCCUGACGCAGCAACGCCGCGUGCGGGAAGAAGGUCUUAGGGUUGUAAACCGCUUUCAGCAGGGACGAAGGCGUCCGGGUUAAUAGCCCGGUCGUUGACGGUACCUGCAGAAGAAGGUCCGGCUAACUACGUGCCAGCAGCCGCGGUAAUACGUAGGGACCGAGCGUUGUCCGGAAUCAUUGGGCGUAAAGAGCGUGUAGGCGGCCUGUUAAGUCUUGCGUGAAAUCUCGGGGCUCAACCCCGAGCGGUCGUGAGAAACUGGCAGGCUAGAGUGCGGGAGAGGAGAGUGGAAUUCCUGGUGUAGCGGUGAAAUGCGCAGAUAUCAGGAAGAACACCCGUGGCGAAGGCGGCUCUCUGGAACGCAACUGACGCUGAGACGCGAAAGCGUGGGGAGCAAACAGGAUUAGAUACCCUGGUAGUCCACGCCGUAAACGAUGGACGCUAGGUGUGGGCGGUGUCGACUCCGUCCGUGCCGAAGCUAACGCAUUAAGCGUCCC